rnacentral:tRNA from 1 species
GAAUCGGUGGUUCAGUGGCAGAAUGCUCGCCUGAAACGCGGGCGGCCCGGGUUCGAUUCCCGUCCGAUGCA